rnacentral:rRNA from 1 species
UACGAAGGGGGCUAGCGUUGCUCGGAAUCACUGGGCGUAAAGCGCACGUAGGCGGCUUGCUAAGUCAGGGGUGAAAUCCUGGAGCUCAACUCCAGAACUGCCUUUGAUACUGGCGACCUUGAGUCCGGGAGAGGUGAGUGGAACUGCGAGUGUAGAGGUGAAAUUCGUAGAUAUUCGCAAGAACACCAGUGGCGAAGGCGGCUCACUGGCCCGAUACUGACGCUGAGGCACGAAAGCGUGGGGAGCAAACAGG